GCUUACGGCCAUACCACCCUGAGAACGCCCGAUUUCGUCUGAUCUCGGAAGCUAAGCAGUGUCGGGCCUGGUUAGUACUUGGAUGGGAGACCGCCUGGGAAUACCAGGUGCUGUAAGCG
rnacentral:rRNA from 1 species